rnacentral:rRNA from 1 species
UUUUGGGAAGUAAAAGUCGUAACAAGGUUUCCGUUGGUGAACCAUGCUCGUGAUCAUUACCGAGUUAUACAACUCAUAUGCUCGUAAAUGACUGGUAUGUGCCGCCUCGGCGGGAUGCUCGUAGCUAGUCGCUACGGGCCGCCCCCGCCAUGCUGCCCAGGCUCGCUGUUUCUAUAAUGUUUCUUCUGAAUGCUCAAGCAAAUAAAUUAAAACUUUCAACAAUGCUCGUCUUGGCUCUGGCAUAUGCUCGUAGUAGAUGCUCAUGCGAUAAGUAAUGUGAAUUGCAGAAUUCAGUGAUGCUCGAAAUCUUUGAACGCACAAUGCUCGCUGAAGUAUUCUGGCGGGCAUGCCUGUUCAUGCUCGCUGAUGACCCUCAGGCCCCCGGGAUAUGUCCAUAGGAUCGGCGGAAGCCCCCUGCGGGCACAACGCCGUCCAACAAAUACAGUGGCGGUCCCGCCGCAGCUAUGCUCGCUGAGUGGCAUGCUCGUCGCAACUGGAUGCUGUAAUGCUCGUAUGGAAAUGCUCGCUGUGAAAUGUGACCUCGAAUCAGGUAGGAUUGGCCCCACCCAUGCUGCUGAGAAUGCU